AGAGUUUGAUCCUGGCUCAGAACGAACGCUGGCGGCAGGCCUAACACAUGCAAGUCGAGCGCUCCCUUCGGNGGGAGCGGCGGACGGGUUAGUAACGCGUGGGAAUAUACCCAGUUCUAAGGAAUAGCCUCGGGAAACUGAGAGUAAUACCUUAUACGCCCUUCGGGGGAAAGAUUUAUCGGAAUUGGAUUAGCCCGCGUUAGAUUAGAUAGUUGGUGGGGUAAUGGCCUACCAAGUCGACGAUCUAUAGCUGGUUUGAGAGGAUGAUCAGCAACACUGGGACUGAGACACGGCCCAGACUCCUACGGGAGGCAGCAGUGGGGAAUCUUAGACAAUGGGCGCAAGCCUGAUCUAGCCAUGCCGCGUGAGUGAUGAAGGCCUUAGGGUCGUAAAGCUCUUUCGCCAGGGAUGAUAAUGACAGUACCUG
rnacentral:rRNA from 1 species